GGCAGCUACACAUGCAGUCGAGGGGUAUAGUUCUUCGGAACUAGAGACCGGCGCACGGGUGCGUAACGCGUAUGCAAUCUACCUUUUACAGAGGGAUAGCCCAGAGAAAUUUGGAUUAAUACCUCAUAGUAUUAUAGAAUGGCAUCAUUUUAUAAUUAAAGUCACAACGGUAAAAGAUGAGCAUGCGUCCCAUUAGCUAGUUGGUAAGGUAACGGCUUACCAAGGCUACGAUGGGUAGGGGUCCUGAGAGGGAGAUCCCCCACACUGGUACUGAGACACGGACCAGACUCCUACGGGAGGCAGCAGUGAGGAAUAUUGGACAAUGGGCGCAAGCCUGAUCCAGCCAUGCCGCGUGCAGGAUGACGGUCCUAUGGAUUGUAAACUGCUUUUAUACGAGAAGAAACACUCCGACGUGUCGGAGCUUGACGGUAUCGUAAGAAUAAGGAUCGGCUAACUCCGUGCCAGCAGCCGCGGUAAUACGGAGGAUCCAAGCGUUAUCCGGAAUCAUUGGGUUUAAAGGGUCCGUAGGCGGUUUAAUAAGUCAGUGGUGAAAGCCCAUCGCUCAACGGUGGAACGGCCAUUGAUACUGUUAGACUUGAAUUAUUAGGAAGUAACUAGAAUAUGUAGUGUAGCGGUGAAAUGCUUAGAGAUUACAUGGAAUACCAAUUGCGAAGGCAGGUUACUACUAAUGGAUUGACGCUGAUGGACGAAAGCGUGGUAGCGAACAGGAUUAGAUACCCUGGUAGUCCACGCCGUAAACGAUGGAUACUAGCUGUUGGAAGCAAUUUCAGUGGCUAAGCGAAAGUGAUAAGUAUCCCACCUGGGGAGUACGUCGCAAGAAUGAAACUCAAAGGAAUUGACGGGGCCGCACAAGCGGUGGAGCAUGUGGUUUAAUUCGAUGAUACGCGAGGAACUUACCAAGGCUAAAUGUAGAUUGACGGUUGGAAACAGAUCUUCCAAAACAUUUACAGGUGCUGCAUUGUCGUCAGCUCUGC
rnacentral:rRNA from 1 species